CGCAUGACAUCCCGGGGCCGCAUGGCCCUGGGAUCAAAGGAGCAAUCCGCUGAGAGAUGGACUCGCGUCCGAUUAGCUAGUUGGUGAGAUGAAGGCCCACCAAGGCGACGAUCGGUAGCCGGACUGAGAGGUUGAACGGCCACAUUGGGACUGAGACACGGCCCAGACUCCUACGGGAGGCAGCAGUGGGGGAUAUUGCACAAUGGAGGGAACUCUGAUGCAGCAACGCCGCGUGAGGGAAGAAGGUCUUCGGAUUGUAAACCUUUGUCCUCAGGGAAGAUAAUGACGGUACCUGAGGAGGAAGCUCCGGCUAACUACGUGCCAGCAGCCGCGGUAAUACGUAGGGAGCAAGCGUUGUCCGGAUUUACUGGGUGUAAAGGGAGCGCAGGCGGGCGAUCAAGUUGGAAGUGAAAUCCAUGGGCUCAACCCAUGAACUGCUUUCAAAACUGAUUGUCUUGAGUAGUGCAGAGGUAGGCGGAAUUCCCGGUGUAGCGGUGGAAUGCGUAGAUAUCGGGAGGAACACCAGUGGCGAAGGCGGCCUACUGGGCACCAACUGACGCUGAGGCUCGAAAGUGUGGGUAGCAAACAGGAUUAGAUACCCUGGUAGUCCACACGGUAAACGAUGAAUACUCGCUGUUUGCGAUAUACUGCAAGCGGCCAAGCGAAAGCGUUAAGUAUUCCACCUGGGGAGUACGCCCGCACGGUGAAACUCAAAGGAAUUGACGGGGGCCCGC
rnacentral:rRNA from 1 species